rnacentral:rRNA from 1 species
UACGUAGGGUGCGAGCGUUGUCCGGAAUUAUUGGGCGUAAAGGGCGCGUAGGCGGCGAUUCAAGUGACGGGUGAAAUCCCUCGGCUUAACCGAGGAACUGCCUGUCAGACUGGAUUGCUUGAGGCCGGGAGAGGCGAGCGGAAUUCCCAGUGUAGCGGUGAAAUGCGUAGAUAUUGGGAGGAACACCAGUGGCGAAGGCGGCUCGCUGGACCGGUUCUGACGCUGAGGCGCGAAAGCGUGGGGAGCAAACAGA